GGUAAUAAAUCAAUUUCCCAAAUUAAUGCAAAUUAGUGCAUAAAUUUAGGAUAUCAAUUAAAAGUUUUUUUAAAUGUUGCAUAGUUUAAUUACCAAAAUAACCUCGCAUGAUGUAAACCUUUUACCCGCUAAAUGUUAAAAUUACAUCCUUACCCUCUAUUAAUUAACGGUUAAGAUCUAUUUUAUUUUUUUAAUAAUAAAGUACCGUAUCAUUUCUCGCCAUAAAUAAAAAAUAGAAAAGUAUAGU
rnacentral:lncRNA from 1 species